rnacentral:rRNA from 1 species
GACGAACGCUGGCGGCGUGCUUAACACAUGCAAGUCGAACGGAAAGGCCUGCUUUCCCUUGUGGAUUGCGGGUACUCGAGUGGCGAACGGGUGAGUAACACGUGAGUGAUCUGCCCCCAACUUGGGUAUAAGCCUGGGAAACUGGGUCUAAUUCCCGAUAGGACUGCAGGGUGGUGCCUGUGGUGGAAAACGAUUUUCUAGUGGUUGGGGAUGAGCUCGCGGCCUAUCAGCUUGUUGGUGGGGUAAUGGCCUACCAAGGCGGCGACGGGUAGCCGGCCUGAGAGGGUGGACGGCCACAUUGGGACUGAGAUACGGCCCAGACUCCUACGGGAGGCAGCAGUGGGGAAUAUUGCACAAUGGGCGGAAGCCUGAUGCAGCGACGCCGCGUGGGGGAUGACGGCCUUCGGGUUGUAAACUCCUUUCGACCGCGAGGAAGCCACCUGGUUGGAAGGGUGGUGUCGGUAGUGGUAGAAGAAGCACCGGCUAACUACGUG